rnacentral:lncRNA from 1 species
AAGGACAUAGUAAAAAAUGAUUAGACUAUCCUAUAUAAGGUGUUUUCAUAGGGGAUGCGAGAUAGGGUAGUGUAAGAGGGUAAGGUAUUUGGACUUGACCCUUGUGAUGUGGGUUGGUAUGACCAAACAAUGUAGGGUAGUGUUGGUAGGCUAGGACACCUAGGAUAGGACCCAAUGGGAUGUGAUAUGUAAGGUAGAGUGCUUGGGGUUGG